rnacentral:piRNA from 1 species
UCCCUGCAGGAAGGGGGCCUAGAGUGG